UCAAGAAGUGUUUUUGUCUCAGGCACCAUCUCUGCUCUGAAGGUGAAAAUGCCAAAGUUCUGGUCUCAAGCCAAGAGGAGCUACUAUAGGAAAACACAGCAAAAAAUCCUUCAUCCUGCUAUGCAAAAGAAGCCUCAGCUUACACCAGUUCAUUAUCAGAUUCUCUGCACUUGAAGGAAGCAAAAUCCAUGAACUCCAGUCAGCUCUAGAAUGAAAUCAGAUUGAAGAAAUAAACAGUAGCAUGGGAAUUUGCUAAGAAAAUAACAAUAAAAAUUUCUGCUCCAAUGAGAGAGAUUAACAAGCUGAA